rnacentral:rRNA from 1 species
UACGAAGGGGGCUAGCGUUGCUCGGAAUCACUGGGCGUAAAGCGCACGUAGGCGGAUUGUUAAGUCGGGGGUGAAAUCCUGGAGCUCAACUCCAGAACUGCCUUCGAUACUGGCGAUCUUGAGUCCGGGAGAGGUGAGUGGAACUCCGAGUGUAGAGGUGAAAUUCGUAGAUAUUCGGAAGAACACCAGUGGCGAAGGCGGCUCACUGGCCCGGUACUGACGCUGAGACGCGAAAGCGUGGGGAGCAA